rnacentral:rRNA from 1 species
UACGGGGGGGGCAAGCGUUGUUCGGAAUUACUGGGCGUAAAGGGCUCGUAGGCUGCCAACUAAGUCAGACGUGAAAUCCCUCGGCUUAACCGGGGAACUGCGUCCGAUACUGGAUGGCUUGAGGUUGGGAGAGGGAUGCGGAAUUCCAGGUGUAGCGGUGAAAUGCGUAGAUAUCUGGAGGAACACCGGUGGCGAAGGCGGCAUCCUGGACCAAUUCUGACACUGAGGAGCGAAAGCCAGGGGAGCAAACGGG